UGGGGAAUUUUGCGCAAUGGACGAAAGUCUGACGCAGCAACGCCGCGUGAAGGAAGAAGCUCUUUGGAGUGUAAACUUCUUUUGUUCGGGAAGAAAAGUUAAUGGCUAAUAUCCAUUAUAAUGACGUUACCGAAAGAAUAAGCACCGGCUAAUCUCGUGCCAGCAGCCGCGGUAAUACGAGAGGUGCAAGCGUUAUUCGGAAUUAUUGGGCGUAAAGGGCGCGUAGGCGGUUUUGUAAGUUUUUUGUUUAAUUCUCUGGCCUAACCAGAGGUAUGCGAAAAAGACUGCAUGGCUAGAGUGUAAUAGAGAGAAGUGGAAUUUUCGGAGUAGCGGUUAAAUGCGUAGAUCUCGAAAGGAACGCCAAUGGCGAAGGCAGCUUCUUGGAUUACUCUGACGCUGA
rnacentral:rRNA from 1 species